UGGGGAAUAUUGCACAAUGGGGGAAACCCUGAUGCAGCAACGCCGCGUGAAGGAUGAAGGUUUUCGGAUCGUAAACUUCUUUGACCGGGGACGAACAAAGACGGUACCCGGAAAACAAGCCACGGCUAACUACGUGCCAGCAGCCGCGGUAAUACGUAGGUGGCGAGCGUUGUCCGGAAUUACUGGGUGUAAAGGGCGUGUAGGCGGGAAUGCAAGUCAGAUGUGAAAGCCCGGGGCUUAACCCCGGAUGUGCAUCUGAAACUGUGUUUCUUGAGUGCUGGAGAGGAAAGCGGAAUUCCUAGUGUAGCGGUGAAAUGCGUAGAUAUUAGGAGGAACACCAGUGGCGAAGGCGGCUUUCUGGACAGUAACUGACGCUGAGGCGCGAAAGCGUGGGGAGCAAACAGG
rnacentral:rRNA from 2 species